rnacentral:lncRNA from 1 species
CUCGACUACCACUUCAUUCAAGGUGUUUCAUUUUUCCACGAAAAAUAAGAACAAAUUAAAAUUAAUAAAAAUCAUCUUAAAAGGAGAAUCGUAUUUGAUCUCUACUCCUUAUUAACAUCAAAGGAAAAACUAAAUUAAAGUAAACAAAUUGAAUCGAAACCAUGGACUCACAGGUUUCUUGUAGAAGCAAAACAUUGACGGGCUGAGAAACUCUCUCCUCUUUCUCAUGAUCUCUUCGGCGUCGGGACCCGUGUACGGCGGUGGAGUAUAAUCAAACGCCGGCAUGGCAGGAAUAAUGCCAGCGUCAUUUCCUGAGAGACAUGCACUUGUAUUCUGGGCCGGCGAAUACAAACGCCGCAAACCUGGGAAUUGUCGGAACUCCCAUGAUUUUUGUCUCGCUGCAAUCCUCUGCAUCUUUAUAUAAAAAUUAUUUUAUGGCCUUCUAUGUUAUCGAAUCACUGCAAGUAUUUCUAGAAAAUUAUGAAUUUCGUAAAGAAAUUGCAGGAGAAUGACAGGGAGAGGCUUUGCAAAUUCAUUUCCAAGGCAAAAAGCCUGUGUUGUACGUAUGUAUAUAAAGACAUUCGUUAGGUUGGGUGCAUUUGUUUAAAAUUUGGUUUUGAUAUUAAAAAGUUGUUUGAGUCUGUUCUUUCGAAAAAAUGCAUUUUGAACAAUAUUUUGAUAUUAUAUCAAUCACACUCUCUUUA